GGGAGUUUAGCUCAGCUGGGAGAGCAUCUGCCUUACAAGCAGAGGGUCAGCGGUUCGAGCCCGUUAACUCCCACCA
rnacentral:tRNA from 1 species